rfam:Octopus bimaculoides Scaffold4505_contig_3, whole genome shotgun sequence.
AUCGCUUCUCAACCUUUUUGGCUAAGAUCAAAAUGUAGUAUUUGUUCUUAUUGGCUUAAUAUCUGAUAUGAUCCUUUUAUGAGACCAUCGAUAUUAAACUAAUUUUUUAAAUAUUUGCGGCUAAGAUUUUGGAGCUUGCUCGACCCCUGUCUGGGACUAACCUAGUAUUGCAGUAUGUUUAGGUGCGUGUGUGUGUGU